rnacentral:rRNA from 1 species
UACGUAGGGUGCGAGCGUUGUCCCGGAAUUACUGGGCGUAAAGAGCUCGUAGGUGGUUUGUCGCGUUGUCCGUGAAAAACUCACAACUCAAUUGUGGGCGUGCGGGCGAUACGGGCAGACUGGAGUACUGCAGGGGAGACUGGAGUUCCUGGUGUAGCGGUGGAAUGCGCAGAUAUCAGGAGGAACACCGGUGGCGAAGGCGGGAUCCUGGGCCAGUACUGACGCUGAGGAGCGAAAGCGUGGGGAGCGAACAGG